rnacentral:misc_RNA from 1 species
GUGAAUCAUCGAAUUUUUGAACGCACAUUGCACUCUCUUCUGUGCGGAUGCGUAUUUCAGUGUCAGCCUCAAUAAAAUCGACAUAGUUGCUGCUACGCGGUAACAUUCGUCGGCCGUUGGGUCAUCUUAAACCUUUUUGUUUCUUCGGCUUAAAAUUUUCUUUACGAUUCCAUGCACUUUUCUAG